GAUGAAGAACGCAGCGAAAUGCGAUACUUGGUGUGAAUUGCAGAAUCCCGUGAACCAUCGAGUCUUUGAACGCAAGUUGCGCCUCAAGCCAUUAGGUUGAGGGCACGUCUGCCUGGGCGUCACAUAUCGUUGCCUGAUGCCAGUUUCCUCGUGAUGGGUGACUGUGCAGGGCGAAUGAUGGCUUCCCGUGAGCAUUGUUGCCUCAUGGUUGCUUGAAAAUUGAGUCCUUGGUAGGGAGCGCCGUGAUAGAUGGUGGUUGAGUGACGAACGAGACCCAAUCAUGUGAGACCCCUACCGAAUUUGGCCUUCAUGACCCACAUGCGUCUUUGGAACGCUCAUGACGAGACCUCAGGUCAGGCGGGGCUACCCGCUGAGUUUAAGCAUAUCAAUAAGCGGAGGA
rnacentral:misc_RNA from 1 species